rnacentral:rRNA from 1 species
ACCAGCGGGGCGAUAGCAUUUUGAAUGCACCAGUUCCCCACGGGACACUGAAGUUAAGUAACGUUGCCCGUAGUUAGUACCUGGAUGGGUGACCAACUGGGGAAUCCGCGUACUGCUGUUU